AUGGAACCACCGGAUCCACGACGAAAAAGGAAUCUGCCAUGUGGGCAAGGUGGUGGUGACGGACAGCAGAAAAAGCCACGAUCCAGUGGCCAAAUGGAAGGAUCCAUCGAUGGCGACGCCGCUGGUGGCGACGGCGCUCCACUCACCGCCCCCAAUGCAUCGGAUUCGGGGGACGAAGGAGCGGAGAUGGUCGGCCGCGCUGGCCGGAAACGGAGACGGGGUCUGGUCAGUGACAACACGACAGAGGGUCUGUACAUGCGCAGAUCUGGGCGUAGGCGUAGGCUCGUUCUUGUGCCGGGAGAUACAGACGCUAGAGGGGAAGUGAUUCCAGUAGUGCCUCCAGUCCUUACUGCAGAAAGUCACUUGCUGGGUGGUAGGGUGGUUAAAUGUACCUGGAACUGCCACCAGAUCCAGCGCUUAGGUAUGAGGUACUACGGAGUAGUUCAUAGGACUGGCAUGGCAAGCUUGUUAACCACUGCAUUUGAUGGUGAGGCCGACAGGAGGUUCUACGCCUGGCUACUUAGUAGAUUUAGGUGGGAAGACAUGAGCUUCACCUUCCCUGACAGCCAGAUUAGAUACUUCACCCCCAGAUCCAUUGUCAGAACAUUGGGUCUGAGAAAUAGUGGCCCCAAAGUGAAUUUGGUUAAAUUAAAAGCAAAAGAAAGAUAG
rnacentral:rRNA from 1 species